rnacentral:rRNA from 1 species
UCGUCCAGCCUCCUACGGGAGGCAGCCGUGGGGGAUAUUGCACAAUUGGCGCCAGCCUGAUGCAGCCAUGCCGGGUGUAUUAAGAAGGCCGUCGGGGUGGAAAGUACUUUCAGCGGGGGGGGAGGGAGGAAAGUUAAUUCCUUUGGUAAUUUGAGAUACCCGCAGGAGAAGCACCGGCUAACACCCUGCCAGCAGCCCCGGUAACACGGGAGGGGCAAGCGUUAAUCGGGAUUACUGGGCGGAAAGCGCAC